GGGGGGAGGCCGGAUCCUGGGCUGUGUCCCGGCGCCCUGUGCUCCCGGGCCUGCACUGUUGGAUUCGUGCUCCCGCCUCGCAGUCCCCU
rnacentral:pre_miRNA from 1 species